GACGAACGCUGGCGGCGUGCUUAACACAUGCAAGUCGAACGGUGAAGCUCCAGCUUGCUGGUGUGGAUCAGUGGCGAACGGGUGAGUAACACGUGAGCAACCUGCCCCUGACUCUGGAAUAAGCGCUGGAAACGGCGUCUAAUACUGGAUACGAGAAGGGUCCGCAUGGGCACUUUCUGGAAAGUUUUUCGGUUGGGGAUGGGCUCGCGGCCUAUCAGCUUGUUGGUGUGGUAAUGGCUCACCAAGGCGACGACGGGGAGCCGGCCUGAGAGGGCGACCGGCCACACUGGGACUGAGACACGGCCCAGACUCCUACGGGAGGCAGCAGUGGGGAAUAUUGCACAAUGGGCGAAAGCCUGAUGCAGCGACGCCGCGUGGGGGAUGACGGCCUUCGGGUUGUAAACCUCUUUCGGCAGGGAAGAAGCGAAAGUGACGGUACCUGCAGAAGAAGCACCGGCUAACUACGUG
rnacentral:rRNA from 1 species